rnacentral:rRNA from 1 species
ACGGGUGAGUAAUACAUCGGAACGUGCCCAAUCGUGGGGGAUAACGCAGCGAAAGCUGUGCUAAUACCGCAUACGAUCUACGGAUGAAAGCAGGGGAUCGCAAGACCUUGCGCGAAUGGAGCGGCCGAUGGCAGAUUAGGUAGUUGGUGAGGUAAAGGCUCACCAAGCCUUCGAUCUGUAGCUGGUCUGAGAGGACGACCAGCCACACUGGGACUGAGACACGGCCCAGACUCCUACGGGAGGCAGCAGUGGGGAAUUUUGGACAAUGGGCGAAAGCCUGAUCCAGCCAUGCCGCGUGCAGGAUGAAGGCCUUCGGGUUGUAAACUGCUUUUGUACGGAACGAAACGGUCUUUUCUAAUACAGAAGGCUAAUGACGGUACCGUAAGAAUAAGCACCGGCUAACUACGUGCCAGCAGCCGCGGUAAUACGUAGGGUGCAAGCGUUAAUCGGAAUUACUGGGCGUAAAGCGUGCGCAGGCGGUUAUGUAAGACAGUUGUGAAAUCCCCGGGCUCAACCUGGGAACUGCAUCUGUGACUGCAUAGCUAGAGUACGGUAGAGGGGGAUGGAAUUCCGCGUGUAGCAGUG